AGCGAGGCUAGAGUCACGCCUGGACAUUGCUCGUUGUCUUGGUGUGCUAGAGUGCUCGUAGAUUAAAGCUCUUCGUUUAUUCAUUGGCUGCAGUCUGCUGUGACCCAGUCAACCACCAGCUCAGAUACAACC